rnacentral:rRNA from 1 species
AGUUUGAUCCUGGCUCAGGAUGAACGCUAGCGGCAGGCUUAACACAUGCAAGUCGAGGGGCAGCGGGGAGGAAGCUUGCUUUCUCCGCCGGCGACCGGCGCACGGGUGAGUAACACGUAUGCAACCUGCCCCUGUCAGGGGGACAACCCGCCGAAAGGCGGGCUAAACCCGCGUACAUGCCACCGGGGCAUCCCGGAGGCAGGAAAGGCUUCGGCCGGACAGGGAUGGGCAUGCGGCGCAUUAGGCAGUAGGCGGGGUAACGGCCCACCUAACCGACGAUGCGUAGGGGUUCUGAGAGGAAGGUCCCCCACACUGGUACUGAGACACGGACCAGACUCCUACGGGAGGCAGCAGUGAGGAAUAUUGGUCAAUGGGCGGGAGCCUGAACCAGCCAAGCCGCGUGAGGGAUGAAGGUACAGAGUAUCGUAAACCUCUUUUGUCAGAGAACAAAGGCGGGGACGCGUCCCCGGAUGAGUGUACCUGAAGAAAAAGCAUCGGCUAACUCCGUGCCAGCAGCCGCGGUAAUACGGAGGAUGCGAGCGUUAUCCGGAUUUAUUGGGUUUAAAGGGUGCGCAGGCGGUCUGUUAAGUCAGCGGUCAAAGCCCGGGGCUCAACCCCGGCCCGCCGUUGAAACUGGCAGUCUCGAGUUGGAGAGAAGUAUGCGGAAUGCGCGGUGUAGCGGUGAAAUGCAUAGAUAUCGCGCAGAACUCCGAUUGCGAAGGCAGCAUGCCGGCUCCACACUGACGCUGAGGCACGAAAGCGUGGGUAUCGAACAGGAUUAGAUACCCUGGUAGUCCACGCAGUAAACGAUGAAUGCUGGCUGUCCGGGGGGACUGACCCCUGGGUGGCGAAGCGAAAGCGAUAAGCAUUCCACCUGGGGAGUACGCCGGCAACGGUGAAACUCAAAGGAAUUGACGGGGGCCCGCACAAGCGGAGGAACAUGUGGUUUAAUUCGAUGAUACGCGAGGAACCUUACCCGGGCUCAAACGGGGAGUGACUCAGGCAGAGACGCCUGUUUCCCACGGGACACUCCCCGAGGUGCUGCAUGGUUGUCGUCAGCUCGUGCCGUGAGGUGUCGGCUUAAGUGCCAUAACGAGCGCAACCCCCGCGUGCAGUUGCUAACAGAUAACGCUGAGGACUCUGCACGGACUGCCGGCGCAAGCCGCGAGGAAGGCGGGGAUGACGUCAAAUCAGCACGGCCCUUACGUCCGGGGCGACACACGUGUUACAAUGGGUGGUACAGCGGGAAGCCAGGCGGCGACGCCGAGCGGAACCCGAAAUCCACUCUCAGUUCGGAUCGGAGUCUGCAACCCGACUCCGUGAAGCUGGAUUCGCUAGUAAUCGCGCAUCAGCCAUGGCGCGGUGAAUACGUUCCCGGGCCUUGCACUCACCGCCCGUCAAG